CCAAUAGCGUAUAUUAAAGUUGUUGCAGUUAAAAAGCUCGUAGUUGAAUUUCGGGAUCAGUACGUUGGUCGUGCCUUCGGUACGUACUGGCGUUACUGGUUCCUACCUUCUGAGGAACCGUCAUGUCAUUAAUUUGGUGUGGUGGGAAAUCAGGACUGUUACUUUGAAAAAAUUAGAGUGUUUAAAGCAGGCUCGCGCUUGAAUACAUUAGCAUGGAAUAAUGAAAUAGGACGUUCGAUCCUAUUUUGUUGGUUUCUAGGAUUGACGUAAUGAUUAAUAGGGAUAGUUGGGGGCAUUAGUAUUCAAUUGUCAGAGGUGAAAUUCUUGGAUUUAUUGAAGACUAACUGCUGCGAAAGCAUUUGCCAAGGAUGUUUUCAUUAAUCAAGAACGAAAGUUAGGGGAUCGAAGACGAUCAGAUACCGUCGUAGUCUUAACCAUAAACUAUGCCGACUAGGGAUCGGAUGAUGUUAUUUUUAAUGACUCAUUCGGCGCCUUACG
rnacentral:rRNA from 1 species